rnacentral:rRNA from 1 species
GAUGAACGCUAGCGGCAGGCCUAAUACAUGCAAGUCGGACGGGAUCCAUUGAUAGCUUGCUAUCAAUGGUGAGAGUGGCGCACGGGUGCGUAACGCGUGAGCAACCUGCCUCCAUCAGGGGGAUAGCCUCUCGAAAGAGAGAUUAACACCGCAUAAUAUCAACAGUUCGCAUGUUCAGUUGAUUAACUAUUUAUAGGAUGGAGAUGGGCUCGCGUGACAUUAGCUAGUUGGUAGGGUAACGGCUUACCAAGGCGACGAUGUCUAGGGGCUCUGAGAGGAGAAUCCCCCAGACUGGUACUGAGACACGGACCAGACUCCUACGGGAGGCAGCAGUAAGGAAUAUUGGUCAAUGGGCGGAAGCCUGAACCAGCCAUGCCGCGUGCAGGAUGACUGCCCUAUGGGUUGUAAACUGCUUUUGUCCAGGAAUAAACCUAAAUACGAGUAUGUAGCUGAAUGUACUGGAAGAAUAAGGAUCGGCUAACUCCGUG